UUUUCACUCCUGACUGAGUCCCGCGACUUUUUGCCCCACGCUCACCAUUCUCCCUCCAGAGUGCAGGACACUAAAGACACAGGAACGAGUGUGAAAUGUGACGUCGCGUCUCUCCCAAGAGACCCUGCGGUCCUCAAAGGAGGGUCACACGCCUCCCAGUAAAAAGGUGAGUUAGGGAAAUUCUGAAUUGGAGACGGGCACCUGGCCUCCUGGGGGGGGGGAGGGGGAUUCAAGGAGAGCUUCCUGGAGGUGGUGGCCAGGCAGGGGGUGAGGUCUAGGAACAGCUGGCCGGAUGAGGGGCAGAGGCUGGGAGACAGGACAGUCCCACACUGUGGAUGCACAUGCCGGCAGCAGUGACCGUGGGACACAGAGAAGGACCAUCAGGGUGGCCGUGCGGCGAGAAGGUGCUGCAGGGGGGAGGGCAGGGUCAGCCCGUGGAGGGCUUGGUGGACCGUGAUGAGAAGUGUCCAUUUUGCUCUGUAGGCAAAGGGUGUUUGUUAGAGAAGAAAUCUGGCUUUGCCAUUUGAGGAUGAGCUAAGCAGGCAAGUUCAGACGUGGGCAUUCCUCGGGUGGACAGAGUGGUCCGGGGGCGAGGACGCAGCGGUGGGGCCGAGAGGCCGGCAGGACAGUGAGCUGGUGUCUCUGUGGCACCAUCAGACCGACCGCGGGACCUGGCCCCUGAGACGCAUUCCCCCCUCCCCCCCCCCGUUCCUCUUCUGUCUGCGUGACCACAAGUCCGUGCACACGUUCGUGUGGCCCAUGGGGCUUUGUCGGCCCUCUUCGAGGUCACCCCGUAGGGACAGGCGGGACCCGACCGUGGGUCUGCGCAGCUGCCACGCCCACAGUCUUCACCCUGCGUCCCGCUGUCCCCUCCCGUGUCAUAACAUAGCCUGGUGUCUGCCUGUCACACAGCUCCCCCAGGACCCCUCAACACUCAUUCCAUGCGGGGUGACAAGGCGUGUGAGCCCACGAAUGAGCGAGUCGAUGAAUUCGGGAAACAGCUCUGCUUCUUGGCAAAAUUUCUAAGCCACCAGGGUGCCAAGACUGACAACGGUAAAGGGCGCUGGCUGCGCGCAGAGCUGGCACUCGGGUCCCGGCAGCCCCACGGGGGUCCCGGGCGACGCCUGCUGAAGAGGGAGGCCGAGCGGCUCGCCUGGUCAGGACACGCCCGGCGGGACUUGGACCCGGGGCCCUGCCCCCGGGUCCGGUGGGCUCUUCCCAGAGCCGGGCUCGGCCCACGGCAGAGGCAAAGGCGAGACCGCCAGGGCGAGCACACCCCCGGCCGUGGGUGGCCCGGGGAGGGGCCUGCACAGGCAGGUUCCAGUUUCCAGGAUGUUUCUCUGGGUUUGCCUGCGUCUGGUUACGUCCUCUGUGAGCAUUCGGGCCGCUGGCCCCCGUGCAAAGUCAGACGGCCGCCCGGAAGCCCCUCCUCCAGGUUAGCUGGGGUCGUUUGCCGCCCCACCGCAAAGAGCCCUCACACCCGUGCUUUGAUCUUACAGUUGCAGUUUUCAAGGCCCGCCCAUCUCCCCAGCUUCCCUACGCCUCUUUUCCUGCGAGGUUUCCUGGCACAAACCCUGCAUCCCCCAGCACAGAGCCCGGGCGUUUCCAGGGACAUUCUCAGGAAAAGCUGCACGCGCGUGUCUCCUGGGCAUCCUUGGGCCCAGAGUUUACUUUGACGUCACGCGGGCCUGUUUCAAGAAGAAGAAAGAGCCUCCGUAAGAUAGGAAGACAACAGGUACCGAGGAAGAAGGGGGUUUCGCAAAAGCCUGUGAUGUUAAGCGCAGGGCCCUGACCUUGCCCUGCAAACCUGGGAGGGAGGUGGCUUGUUUUUCUGUCGCGUGUGGGCUCUAUCCCGCU
rnacentral:lncRNA from 1 species